GGUGAACGCUGGCGGCGUGCCUAAUACAUGCAAGUCGAGCGAACAGACGAGGAGCUUGCUCCUCUGACGUUAGCGGCGGACGGGUGAGUAACACGUGGAUAACCUACCUAUAAGACUGGGAUAACUUCGGGAAACCGGAGCUAAUACCGGAUAAUAUAUUGAACCGCAUGGUUCAAUAGUGAAAGACGGUUUGGCUGUCACUUAUAGAUGGAUCCGCGCCGCAUUAGCUAGUUGGUAAGGUAACGGCUCACCAAGGCGACGAUGCGUAGCUGACCUGAGAGGAUGAGCAGACACACUGGAACUGAGACACGGUCCAGACGCCUACGGGAGGCAGCAGUGGGGAAUAUUGGACAAUGGGCGCAAGCCUGAUCCAGCCAUACCGAGUGGGUGAAGAAGGCCUUCGGGUUGUAAAGCCCUUUUGUUGGGAAAGAAAAGCAGCAGGUUAAUACCCCGCUGUUCUGACGGUACCCAAAGAAUAAGCACCGGCUAACUUCGUG
rnacentral:rRNA from 1 species